AACUCCCUGGCGUCAUAGAGUGGAACCCAACCACCCCCUCCCAAGCCCUCGUCUCUCUGUCUCUGCUCUCUCAAGCUUGGCGUUGGCAGCGGGUAGUCUCUCACCUUCACCUCGUCACUCUCUCGAGCUCGGCGUCGGCAUCCCCUCACCCUCACCUCGUCGUCAGUUCGUCACUCUCAGUUUCUGGGUCUCUCACCUCAUCGCUGUCUCGGUCUCUCACCAUGAGUCCGUGAUCCUGCGUUCGCUUCGUCGAAACCAGUGAAGCAACACCUGCUCCCUCGGGUGGUGGUGGUGGCGUCUUCUCUACCAUGCAAGCUCCAGUUUUCAACCCUGUUCUUUCUCUAGGUUUUCCAACUAGCCAUUAUACCUGAGAUUGCGAGAAGUCCUUCUUCUUCUUUGGAGCUUGUUCUUGUUCCUAGGGGUAAGUUCUACUGGUUUGUCGGGGAUGCUCUUGUUUUUCUUUCAGGAGUUGGUUCGUGGCAUGGACACCUAGCCCUUUCUUAUUUUUAGUAUUUGUGACAAUCAUAGAGUUUAUAAUAAUAGAGGGAAGACUGAUUCUGCUUGGGGUCAUUGUAAACAAAUUGUGGAUUUAUCGAUUGUGUUAUCUUUUACUCGCCUUUGAUGAUUUAAAUUAAAAAAGUAUUUUGUAA